UCCUAAGAACUCAUAGACAUUUGUCUAAACAGGACUGAAGCCUUGAAUCCCGAUCACAAGUUUCUUACCCAACCCUAUUCUCCCGUCGAGCAAGUUUUUGUCAAAUCAGUUGUGUGGAAUUCUGCACGGUUAACUCAGUUGGUCAAUUUAAAUACUUUGAAAAACUUUUCCCCUGUCUUUCUUCUUCUUUGAUUUAGGGUUUCAGAAGCAGUGACGUUUUCACGCCGGCCUCUCUUUCUAAAAUCUCACGAUGAUCUGAGUGAAGACUGCUUUAAAUAAUCAAGUUUCGAUAUUCAAUUCAGGGUUUCAGAAGCAGGUUUUCGUCAACGUUUCAUGAUGAAUACAGCGAAGGCUGCAUUAAAUGAUGAAGUUUCGAUAGUCAAUUCGGUGUUUCAGAAGCAGUGACGUUGGCUAGCCUUCUUCUUUUUCUUCUGUCGUGAGUGUUUGACGAUAAUCUGGGUGACGACUGCAUUAAAUGAUGAAGUUUCGAUAUUCAAUUCAGGAGAUCUUUCCCAACCAGUGAUGCAUGGUUCUGACAGCGUAAUUGACCAGUGGAGUAAGGGAACACUACUUUCACCAUCUGGCAUAGAAAGAAUUUUUCCCUCAUGAAGCAUCCAGCGGAAAGUUAUGGUUUUUCCAGACCCAGACAACCUUUCUGAUCCAAGCAAGUACAUUCUAGUUGACUUCCAAAGGUUAGAGUUUCCUUUGACAAGUGUUGUUUUCCCUUGGUAUCCAGAAGUUGGUGAUAUGUUACUUAUCAAAGGCGAUGAUCCAGAACCAUGGCGGGGUUUAGUUCUGGCAGUGCACAUGAGGAACAAAACUGUGCGACUGCAGUUCUUCGUACCACAUCCUCGGUAGGGAAGACAGUCUGGCGUCUGGGUGCGUGAAGGUACACGACCUCAAGAAGUGCACUUAAAGAGCAAGCUUGGAAGUUGUAUAGGACAUUGGCAGGGAAACAACAGCAUCUUAAAAGAACUGCAGACUUGGAUGCUACUGACAUUAGAAAAAAAAAUUCCAUUUGGAGAAUGGUUCAUGACACCUUCAGUUAAAGGCGUGGUCUUUCAGGUCUUCAGAGUCUCCCAAAAAUGGAGUCACAGGUUUGGAU